rnacentral:rRNA from 1 species
UGGCCAGACUCCUACGGGAGGCAGCAGUGAGGAAUAUUGGUCAAUGGGCGAGAGCCUGAACCAGCCAAGUCGCGUGAGGGAAGACGGUCCUAUGGAUUGUAAACCUCUUUUGCCGGGGAGCAAAAAGCGGUACGUGUACCGCAUCGAGAGUACCCGGAGAAAAAGCAUCGGCUAACUCCGCGCCAGCAGCCGCGGUAAUACGGAGGAUGCGAGCGUUAUCCGGAUUUAUUGGGUUUAAAGGGUGCGCAGGCGGCGAGUUAAGUCGGGGGUAAAAUUUCGGGGCUCAACCUCGUCGAGCCGUUGAAACUGGGUGCCUUGAGUGGGCGAGAAGUACGCGGAAUGCGUGGUGUAGCGGUGAAAUGCGUAGAUAUCACGCAGAACUCCGAUUGCGAAGGCAGCGUACCGGCGCCCAACUGACGCUGAAGCACGAAGGCGUGGGUAUCGAACAGGAUUAGAUACCCGCGUAGAU